rnacentral:rRNA from 1 species
GGGUGCGAUCAUACUAGCGUUAAUGCAACGGAUCCCAUCAGAACUCCGCAGUUAAGCGCGCUUGGGCUAGAGUAGUACUGGGAUGGGUGACCUCCCGGGAAGUC